rnacentral:rRNA from 1 species
AGUGAACGCUGGCGGCAUGCCUAACACAUGCAAGUCGAACGGCAGCACAGUGGAGCUUGCUCCAUGGGUGGCGAGUGGCGGACGGGUGAGGAAUGCAUCGGAAUCUACCCUCUUGUGGGGGAUAACCAAGCGAAAGUUUGGCCACUACCGCAUAAGACGGCGACGUGAAAGCGGGGGACCGUUGGGUCUCGCGCGGGAGGAUGAGCCGAGGGCCGAUAAGCUAGUUGGCGGGGUAAGAGCCCACCAAGGCGCGGAUCGGUAGCUGGUCGGGGAGGACGAUCAGCCACACUGGGACUGAGACACGGCCAAGACUCCUACGGGAGGCAGCAGUGGGGAAUAUUGGACAAUGGGCGCAAGCCUGAUCCAGCAAUGCCGCGUGGGUGAAGAAGGCCUUCGGGUUGUAAAGCCCUUUUGUACGGGAAGAAAAGCUCCGGGCUAAUACCUUGGGGUCAUGACGGUACCGUAAGAAUAAGCACCGGCUAACUUCGUGCCAGCCGCCGCGGUAAUAC